CGAGGGGAAACGACAUCGAAAGCUUGCUUUUGAUGGGCGUCGACCGGCGCACGGGUGAGUAACGCGUAUCCAACCUGCCCACCACUUGGGGAUAACCUUGCGAAAGUAAGACUAAUACCCAAUGACGUCUCUAGAAGACAUCUGAAAGAGAUUAAAGAUUUAUCGGUGAUGGAUGGGGAUGCGUCUGAUUAGCUUGUUGGCGGGGUAACGGCCCACCAAGGCGACGAUCAGUAGGGGUUCUGAGAGGAAGGUCCCCCACAUUGGAACUGAGACACGGUCCAAACUCCUACGGGAGGCAGCAGUGAGGAAUAUUGGUCAAUGGACGAGAGUCUGAACCAGCCAAGUAGCGUGCAGGAUGACGGCCCUAUGGGUUGUAAACUGCUUUUAUAAGGGAAUAAAGUGAGCCUCGUGAGGCUUUUUGCAUGUACCUUAUGAAUAAGGACCGGCUAAUUCCGUGCCAGCAGCCGCGGUAAUACGGAAGGUCCGGGCGUUAUCCGGAUUUAUUGGGUUUAAAGGGAGCGUAGAUGGAUUUUUAAGUCAGUUGUGAAAGUUUGCGGCUCAACCGUAAAAUUGCAGUUGAUACUGGAUAUCUUGAGUGCAGUUGAGGCAGGCGGAAUUCGUGGUGUAGCGGUGAAAUGCUUAGAUAUCACGAAGAACUCCGAUUG
rnacentral:rRNA from 1 species